GAUGAACGCUGGCGGCGUGCCUAAUACAUGCAAGUCGAGCGAACAGACGAGGAGCUUGCUCCUCUGACGUUAGCGGCGGACGGGUGAGUAACACGUGGAUAACCUACCUCUAAGACUGGGAUAACUUCGGGAAACCGGAGCUAAUACCGGAUAAUAUAUUGAACCGCAUGGUUCAAUAGUGAAAGACGGUUUUGCUGUCACUUAUGGAUGGAUCCGCGCCGCAUUAGCUAGUUGGUAAGGUAACGGCUUACCAAGGCAACGAUGCGUAGCCGACCUGAGAGGGUGAUCGGCCACACUGGAACUGAGACACGGUCCAGACUCCUACGGGAGGCAGCAGUAGGGAAUCUUCCGCAAUGGGCGAAAGCCUGACGGAGCAACGCCGCGUGAGUGAUGAAGGUCUUCGGAUCGUAAAACUCUGUUAUUAGGGAAGAACAAAUGUGUAAGUAACUAUGCACGUCUUGACGGUACCUAAUCAGAAAGCCACGGCUAACUACGUG
rnacentral:rRNA from 1 species